rnacentral:rRNA from 1 species
CGGCGGACGGGUGAGUAACGCGUGGGUAACCUGCCUCAUACAGGGGGAUAACAGUUGGAAACGGCUGCUAAUACCGCAUAAGCGCACAGUACCGCAUGGUACCGUGUGAAAAACUCCGGUGGUAUGAGAUGGACCCGCGUCUGAUUAGCUAGUUGGUGGGGUAACAGCCUACCAAGGCGACGAUCAGUAGCCGACCUGAGAGGGUGACCGGCCACAUUGGGACUGAGACACGGCCCAA